GACGAACGCUGGCGGCGUGCUUAACACAUGCAAGUCGAACGGAAAGGCCCUGCUUUUGUGGGGUGCUCGAGUGGCGAACGGGUGAGUAACACGUGAGUAACCUGCUCUUGACUUUGGGAUAACUUCAGGAAACUGGGGCUAAUACCGGAUAGGAGCUCCUGCUGCAUGGUGGGGGGUGGAAAGUUUAGGCGGUUGGGGCUGGACUCGCGGCUUAUCAGCUUGUUGGUGGGGGAGUGGCUUACCAAGGCUUUGGCGGGUCGGCGGCCUGAGAGGGUGACCGGGCACCUUGGGACUGCGAUAGGGACCAGAGUCCUACGGGAGGCAGCAGGGGGAAAUAUUGCACAAUGGGCGGAAGCCUGAUGCAGCAACGCCGCGUGCGGGAUGACGGCCUUCGGGUUGUAAACCGCAUUCGCCUGUGACGCAGCGUGAGUGACGGUAAUGGGUAAAGAAGCACCGGCUAACUACGUG
rnacentral:rRNA from 1 species